GCCUAAAGCGUCCGUAGCCGGCUCUGUUAGUUUUCGGUUAAAUCCAUAUGCUCAACAUAUGGGCCGCCGGGAAUACUGCAGAGCUAGGGAGUGGGAGAGGUAGACGGUACUCGGGAGGAAGUGGUAAAAUGCUUUGAUCUCUCGAUGACCACCUGUGGCGAAGGCGGUCUACCAGAACACGUCCGACGGUGAGGGAUGAAAGCUGGGGGAGCAAACCGGAUUAGAUACCCGGGUAGUCCCAGCUGUAAACGAUGCAGACUCGGUGAUGCGCUGGCUUGUGGCCAGUGCAGUGCCGCAGGGAAGCCGUUAAGUUUGCCGCCUGGGAAGUACGUACGCAAGUAUGAAACUUAAAGGAAUUGGCGGGGGAGCACCACAAGGGGUGAAGCCUGCGGUUCAAUUGGAGUCAACGCCAGAAAUCUUACCCGAAGAGACAGCAGAAUGAAGGUCAAGCUGGAGACUUUACCAGACAAGCUGAGAAGUGGUGCAUGGCCGUCGCCAGCUCGUGCCGUGAGAUGUCCUGUUAAGUCAGGUAACGAGCGAGAUCCCUGCCUCUAGUUGCCACCAUUACUCUCAGGAGUAGUGGGGCGAAUUAGCGGGACCGCCGCAGUUAAUGCGGAGGAAGGAAGGGGCCACGGCAGGUCAGUAUGCCCCGAA
rnacentral:rRNA from 1 species